UGUGUCCUUGGGCAAGACACUUCACCCGUUGCCUACUGGUGGUGGUCAGAGGGCCCGGUGGCGUCAGUGUUCGGCAGCCUCGCCUCUGUCAGUGCGCCCCAGGGUGGCUGUGGCUGGACGAUCUGAUAUCCUCGUGUUGGCGUUGUUCCCACAUCAUCAUAAUUAAUGUUGUUCCAGGGUCCACAUUACAAGUAACCAAUCACCUUCUUGUGACGUCAUACUUUUGCGACUUCGAAAAAUACCCGCCUUAAAAAAAACAAAUGUUCUUCGGGAAACCGCCUUUUGUCCGCCGAUCCAGCAAUUUCAAUUCCUCUCAAGAUACUUUUCUUUAAUAAACGGCUGCAGAUUUCACUUACAUUUGUGGAUGCAGAGAUGAAGCAGACUCACUGACGGAGGUGUUUCUGUGCCCACUCUAGGAUUUCUUUAACGACCCUAAUUAUUUCCAGCUAAGCGUUUUCUUUUUCCCUUUAUCACUUUAAUAUGUCGCUCAAAUGAUUUGAAUUGUUGCAUUUAAAGCAGCCUGACUUCUCUGCAGCUUUAUUAUGCAGCUUUUUACAAAGCAUGAAACGUAUUCAGUUUUUUCACUCGAACUGUAAAAGCAUAGCUACAUUAGUAAAUGUUGCCUGACUCUGAAUUUUUACUUUUGAUCGCUGAAGAUUUUUACUAAAACUUCCCAUUUUGGACAAUGUGUCCAUUUUUUUUUUGUUACACUGUAAAUCAGUCAGUGGGACUCUGUGGAAAACCAUGUGCAGAUAAAUUCCCACACUUGCAGGUGGCUUGGCAGAUUGCAGUGAUUACAUACAGGAAAUGGAGGCUGGAUAGAUGGCGAAGUCUUCGACUUUUGUUCUGGCAAAACACUGAGCCUCACCACACAGCGUUGCUCUGUGCUACAUUUGAUCGUCUACUGUGAUUGCUGCUGACUUUUUCCUGCUUGUUCAAGCUUUUAUGAUUUUUAAGAAACAGCAUUUGUUUGGAGGGAUUACUCCAGCGCUACAGUUACUGCGUCACACCGGCCCUACGAGGGAGCACGUGUGGGCCCAAGGCCUGGCCAGAGUGACGCGGGCUCGGCUUCCUCAGGAUGGACUACAUUGAGGCUUGCAGUAACCAGAGGGGCAGUGGAAUGACAAAAACAUCCUCUGCGCCCCCACACGUACCUGCCCCCCUUGUCCUUGUCCCUUUCCAUGCUCGGAGACUUGUUUUCAGGAAGACCAGACUUCCUGCGUGAUGGAGCAAUGGAUGAGAGGAGGAAGAGGGGGAUGGGAUAGACAGGAAAAGACAGACACAGAGCGAGAUAGAUAGGGAUGAGGCAUCAGUCCAAAACACAUCAUGAUUUGGGGCAUUUUGUUUCUUUUUUCUUUUUUCUUUUCCUGACAGACGGGCAGCUGUAAGGGAGUCCGAGCAGCAAGAGAAGAAAAAAUUACGAUGCAGAUCUUUUGCUACGUUUCAUGCUUUUACCUUUUGUCUACUACACCUGCAAAAAGUCUUAUCUCAUGUAAGGCAACUUAGCAGGGAGUGGUCUGAUGAGCUACAAGGAUUUAUUCAAGGCAAGCAGUUCUCACGGGUACUAACAAGUUCGUUUUUUGGACUUGGAUUUGAACAUUGUGCACUCACAAAUCUAAAAAGCAAUAUUUGCCUUUUCCUCUUUUCUCCCUUCAAAAAUGAGAAACACUGAAUAAUGGGACACCAGCAAAAGGACUGGAAACAAGAAGAGGUAAAGCUCACAUUAGCAGAAGCAUCCCUGACUCUCAGUUUCAUCUCAUCAUUGGCUUUUUCUGUGAAUCUUGCUCAUAAAGUAUCAGUAUGAGUGAUUUAAUGACUGCAGCAUGGGUGGAUGAGUGGGCUUUUGAUUGAUUUGUAGGGCAGGUGCUUCAAACCUGGGCUCCUUCGACAUUCAUGCACAAGUAUCCCUGAGUAAAAAGCUUAACUGAAGAUGGGUGGUUUAUGGGAGCCUCUGAUGCCACUGGCUGUGAAAGUGGAGUCCAUAUAACAUACAAUGCUUUUCCUGAACAAAUCUGCAAUAGUCAGCUAAUUGCAUUUAGCAGGCGAACCCUGCCACUAAGACUCAGGACCAACACCAGCUGUUUAUUUACAGCUUUAGCCAUAAGCUGUCUACCAUACACUUGAAUAAUAAUAACAUAUAAACAGGUACAUAUAAGGAUCUGUAAAGAUCCUUUAUAUUAAACAUGUGCCAUCACCUUGAAAAUUGUAACACUUGCUUUUUAUCAGACGUGAAGUGUAAUAAAAUGUACUGCAGCUGUUUUUCUUUACAAUUUUUCGUUACAGAGCAAGAACAUUUUUUUCCCACCCCCCAUUUUUAGUGUCUCAUGAUGACAUACUACAAACAGCUUUAUGUAAAGUUUGCAAAUCCGUGACAAUAAGCAGUCAUUUUGACAUCUGCAGACGUUUGCACUUUCUGCACCACCGAAGAGUGCACAGGUUUACCCAAAACAGACUAUUUCCACAGUUUUUCUUUCCCAACAACAGACUUAUUUCCAUCAUGGUCCUGGCUUAUCCAGGUGGAUGCAUCAGAUGAUGGAUUUUUAUGAUGACUUUGCAGGAAGGCUCUCCACAGUGCAGGUGGAACAAUGCGCUCCCUGCUCUUCUACGGCUUCCUGCACAUCCCGCAGGACCUUUGGCUAGUUUCCUUUUUCUUUUGGCCCUGGACACAUUUUUUCUUGAUGUCAUUUUACUUUGUUGUGAAGCCUAAUUUUCAGUUGUAGUUAGUUGUAGUAUAAUUCUUGAAUGUUACCAAAAGGUUUGAAGAGUCAGAGGAUUAAUCAAAUCUGGACUGAUCAGUUAAGAAUCACCCAGUAAAUGUACUAUUAAUCAUGUUUAUAUAUUUUAUUAUGCACUUUACAGUCUUGAUAUCACAUCCUGAUAUCAUUUAUCUGCUUUAUUUAUUUAUGAUGGCUCAUCAGGUUAGACUUGAUGUCCCACUGCAUGCUAAACUAAAUCUUUAAGUCCCUCACUAAUGCCUGCAAUGCUCGGCCUCUCAGACAUAGAGAAAGACAGGCAGGCAGACAGUAAGAGAGCGAGAGAGGCCCCCUGUUCGUCCUUCCGUCCAGGGAAAGUGGUCGCUCCUCCUCUUUUUGGGCUCAGUUACACCUUCGACUAUUUCUAUCUGACCAGCUGCGGUGUGUGCAUGUCAGAGACACUCUGAAAUUCAGCCAAAACCAGCCCUCCAAAAGCACUCUUAAACUCCACCCUCCAGGACUGCUCACCACCCUCUGUCUUUGGAACAGUUUAGUCUUGUGCUUCUGUUUUGGCACCUGUCUUUCAGCACUAAAUGUGUGAUUGUCUGUGGCAUUCAGUGUGCAUGUGCAUGUGUGCAUGCCUUUCUAUUUCAUCCAUGCACUGUUUUGAUGCACUCUUGUGCAACCGGUUAGUGUGCGUAUGCAGUACAAUGCGACAGUGUGUGCAAUUUUGAAUGAACCCAAAGCAUAUCGCUUGAGUGUGUGUGUAUUCAUGUUGCUGUCUUUAAGUUGCUUAAAGCUAUAAAACUCACACAUACAUGUAAUGUGUUUAUAAUGAAGAAAAAGACUGAUAUCAAGAACAAGA